rnacentral:piRNA from 1 species
UACCAUUUGUUUAAAUAGCCUGUGGGA